rnacentral:rRNA from 1 species
UAUACAAAGGUAUUGAAAUAAGAUUUUAAAUGAGUGCUAAGAGRAUGAUUGAACAAUUAUAGGCUUUCUUUAGUUAAAUAAUUAAAUUUAAUUUUUUUAGUGCAAAAGCAAAAAUUAAAUUUAGGGACAAGAAGACCCUAUGAAUUUUAAUUUAAUUUAUAAUUUGAAAUUUUAAAUUAAAUUUGAUUGGGGCGAUGGAAAAAGAAUGAGUAUCUUUUUUAGUUKUAAAAAUUGGUUCCGUUUUUAACGAUUAAAUGAGAAAAAUACUCUAGGGAUAC